rnacentral:lncRNA from 1 species
GCCGCCGCUGCCAACCCGGAAGGAGCCCGGAGGGGCCCGGGCGGCCAGGGCGCCCCCGCCAGGAGGCCCGCCAGGUGUCCACCUGAGCCCCACGCCCUGCGCCGCGGGGCCCUUUUGGGGGCGGGGUGCCAGCUCCGAGGUGUCCUCCCACGGGCUGUAGACUGGGAAACUGAGGCCCGGGCCACGGUCCCAGACGCAGCCGGGACCCGAACCCACCUCACCUGAGCGAAUGAUAUCCGGGACUCAUCCUUUUUCGACACCUUUGCGGGAUCCAGCCCUCCAAGGAAAGCUUCCUGAGCAGUGCGCGCCACGUGUAUUGGGCACCUCACCGCGGCCACUUCACAUCCUAUCUCAGGUGGAGAAACUAAGCCACAGAAAGGAGCUGUCAUUUACCUAAAGCACCGUGGCAGGGGUUUGGCAGAGCCAGGAUUUGUACCCAGAUCGCCUGACUUCGGAGAGUAACAGCUCUUAACCACAGCACUUCGGUCUAUGCCUUGAUUUCACCAUAUGUAACAAGCAGCUGUGCCACUUUGCAUUCCCACCAGCAGCACGCAAGCGUUCGAAUUUCUCCGCACGCUCCCCAACAGGACAAGAGCUUGCCGUGUUGCCCCAGGCUGGUCUCAAACUCCUAGCCUCAAGCAAACUUCCUGUCUCGGCCUUUCAAAACCCUGAGAUUACAAGCAUAAGAAAAGAAAAUCUUGUAAGAUGAAAGCUGAAGGAUGAGAGCAAUUAAUUGAUGAAGUAUGAUGAUCCAGGUGUCCCUGGGUGAAGAAACAACCUCUACAAAGGCCCUGAGGUAGGAAUAUGCCAUUAUAGGACCUAGGAGCUGUUCUCAGGGAGCUGACGGUGAUUGAGGCUCAUGGAACAAGAAAAGAAAAAUCAUCAUCACCAUUGUCACUAUCACUACCAUAGUCAGAUGAAGAGAUGGGGUCUCCCUAUGCUUCCCAGGCUGGUCUCGAACUCCUGGACUCAAGCAAUCCUCCUGUCUUGACCUCCCAAAGUGCUGGGAUUACAGGCGUGAGCCGCCUCACCUGGCCUAUAGAAUUUUAUACAAAUGAAAUCAUACUGGUCUCGCUCAUCACCAGGCUGGAGUACAGUGACAUGAUC